rnacentral:rRNA from 1 species
UACGGAGGGUGCAAGCGUUGUUCGGAAUGACUGGGCGUAAAGAGCACGUAGGCGGGUUUGCAAGUCAGAUGUGAAAUCCCCGGGCUUAACCUGGGAACUGCACCUGAAACUGCAAAUCUUGAAUAUCUGAGGGGUUGGUGGAAUUCCGGGUGUAGGAGUGAAAUCCGUAGAUAUCCGGAGGAACAUCGGCGGCGAAGGCGGCCAACUGGCAGUAUAUUGACGCUGAGGUGCGAAAGCGUGGGGAGCAAACAGG